rnacentral:rRNA from 1 species
GACGAACGCUGGCGGCGUGCUUAACACAUGCAAGUCGAACGAAAAUUCCAAGCUUGCUUGGUUGAUUAGUGGCGAACGGGUGAGUAACACGUGAGUAACCUGCCCCUUACUUUCCUGGAUAACUGCUCGAAAGGGUAGCUAAUACGGGAUAUUCUGACCAGCCUGCAUGGGUUGGUUUGGAAAGGUUGUUUUUCUGGUAAGGGAUGGGCUCGCGGCCUAUCAGCUUGUUGGUGGGGUGAUGGCCUACCAAGGCUUUGACGGGUAGCCGGCCUGAGAGGGUGGACGGUCACACUGGGAUUGAGAUACGGCCCAGACUCCUACGGGAGGCAGCAGUGGGGAAUAUUGCACAAUGGGCGCAAGCCUGAUGCAGCGACGCCGCGUGAGGGAUGAAGGCCUUCGGGUUGUAAACCUCUUUCGUCAGGGAACAAGGCACUGCUUUUUUGGUGGUGUUGAGGGUACCUGGAUAAGAAGCGCCGGCUAACUACGUG